rnacentral:rRNA from 1 species
AGUGAACGCUGGCGGUAGGCCUAACACAUGCAAGUCGAAUGGCAGCACAGUAAGAGCUUGCUCUUACGGGUGGCGAGUGGCGGACGGGUGAGGAAUACAUCGGAAUCUACUUUUUCGUGGGGGAUAACGUAGGGAAACUUACGCUAAUACCGCAUACGACCUACGGGUGAAAGCAGGGGAUCUUCGGACCUUGCGCGAUUGAAUGAGCCGAUGUCGGAUUAGCUAGUUGGCGGGGUAAAGGCCCACCAAGGCGACGAUCCGUAGCUGGUCUGAGAGGAUGAUCAGACACACUGGAACUGAGAAACGGUACAGACUCCUACGGGAGGAAGCAGUGGGGAAUAUUGGACAAUGGGCGCAAGCCUGAUCCAGAAAUACCGCGUGGGUGAAGAAGGCCUUCGGGUUGUAAAGCCCUUUUGUUGGGAAAGAAAAGCAGCAGGUUAAUACCCCGCUGUUCUGACGGUACCCAAAGAAUAAGCACCGGCUAACUUCGUG